UACGUAGGGUGCGAGCGUUGUCCGGAAUUACUGGGCGUAAAGAGCUCGCAGGUGGUUUGUCGCGUUGUUCGUGAAAACUCACAGCUCAACUGUGGGCGUGCGGGCGAUACGGGCAGACUGGAGUACUGCAGGGGAGACUGGAAUUCCUGGUGUGGCGGUGGAAUGCGCAGAUAUCAGGAGGAACACCGGUGGCGAAGGCGGGUCUCUGGGCAGUAACUGACGCUGAGGAGCGAAAGCGUGGGGAGCGAACAGG
rnacentral:rRNA from 1 species